rnacentral:rRNA from 1 species
ACGGAGGAUGCAAGCGUUAUCCGGAUUCAUUGGGUUUAAAGGGUGCGUAGGCGGAGUACUAAGUCAGCGAUGAAAUCCUGCAGCUUAACUGUAGAACUGUCAUUGAUACUGGUAUUCUUGAAUGCAGUUGAGGUAGGCGGAAUGUGUAAUGUAGCGGUGAAAUGCUUAGAUAUUACACAGAACACCGAUUGCGAAGGCAGCUUACUAAACUGUGAUUGACGCUGAGGCACGAAAGCGUGGGGAGCAAACAGGAUUAGAUACCCUGGUAGUCCACGCCGUAAACUAUGAUUACUCGCUGUUGGCGAUACAUUGUCAGCGGCUGAGCGAAAGCAUUAAGUAAUCCACCUGGGGAGUACGAUCGCAAGGUUG